rnacentral:rRNA from 1 species
CCUACGGGAGGCUGCAGUGAGGAAUAUUGGUCAAUGGACGAGAGUCUGAACCAGCCAAGUAGCGUGAAGGAUGAAUGCCCUAUGGGUUGUAAACGUCUUUUAUAUGGGAAUAAAAUGUUCAACGCGUGGGAUUGUGUAUGUACCAUAUGAAUAAGGAUCGGCUAAAUCCGUGCCAGCAGCCGCGGUAAUACGGAGGAUACGAGCGUUAUCCGGAUUUAUUGGGUUUACAGGGAGCGUAGGUGGAUUGUUAAGUCAGUUGUGAAAGUUUGCGGCUCAACCGUAAAAUUGCAGUUGAAACUGGCAGUCUUGAGUACAGUAGAGGUGGGCGGAAUGCGUGGUGUAGCGGUGAAAUGCUUAGAUAUCACGAAGAACUCCGAUGGCGAAGGCAGUUCACUGGACUGCAACUGACACUGAGGCUCGAAAGUGUGGGUAUCAAACAGGAUUAGAUACCCGUGUAGUC